GGCUAUAUAGUGUAGUGGUUUAGCACUCGGGAUUUUGAUCUUCCCGCAACCCAAGUUCGACCCUUGGUAUGGCCU
rnacentral:tRNA from 1 species